AUGGCGUACUUUUUUUUUUUUUUUUUUUUUUUUUUUUUUAGCAACGAUAAUUACAAGGUUUUAAUAAAUGCUUCUGAUAAUAUGAGUUUGGGAGUUCCCUUUUUUUUAGAUAAAUAUAUAAUAUUUAAUGAUGCUCAUAAAAGGAUAAACAUAUUUGAAGCUUCUCCUAUGAGCAGCAAAAUUAGUGAAGAUUAUUCUAUGUUGAAUUUAAUUCAAAAUAAAACAGAUAGAUUUAACAAAAGAUUUAGGUCGUCAACACAAAGAAAUGAAAAUAAUGAAAAAGGAGAAAUAUAUGGAGCAAAUGUAGAAGAAGGCGAAGUGCAUGAAAAUGAAAAUGAAAAUGAAGAUGAAGAAGGUAAAAAUAAAGAUGCAGAGGAAAUACAAAUAAAAAUAAAAGAACCAUAUGUCGACAUGGCAGAAAACAUAGCGGCAGAAGAAAAGGUUAAAUUAGAAAUAGAAGCAAAAGAAAAAGCAGCGGAAGAAAUAAAGGCUAAAUUAGAAAAAGAAACAGCGAAAAAAGAAGCGGUAGAAAAAGCAGCAGAAAAAGAAGCAGCAGCAGAAGAAAAAUAUAAAUUAGAAAAAGAGGCAGCAGAAAAUGCAGCGGAAGAAGAAAAGGCUAAAUUAAAAAAAGAAGCGGCAGAAAAGGCAGCAGCAGAAAAGGCAAUGGAAGAAGUAAAUGCUGAAUUAGAAAAAAAAGCAGCGGAAGAAGAAGUGGCAAAAAAAGCAGCGGAAGAAAAGGAAGCAGCAGAAAAAAGGGCUAAAUUAGAAAAUGAGGCAGCAAAAAAAGCAGCUGCAGAAGAAAAAGCUAAACUAGAAAAAACAGCAUCGAAAAAUACAGAGAACGAAAAAAUAACUAAAUUAGAAAAUGAAGAGGCAGAAAUACAAAUAAUAUUAAAAGGAUCAGAUGAAGAUGAAAGUGGGCCUACAAAGGCGACAGUAGUAGGAAUGUCAGGCGUAGAAAAUAUACAAAAAACAAAUCUAGAAAAAAAAAUUAAAGAUAAAGCAAGUGAACUUAUGAAAGCAAACAUCAAAGUAGUAAAAGCUAUAUCAGAAGCAGAACAGGCAGGAGAAGCAGUUAAAAAUGCAAAGCAUGAAGAAGAUAAUGCUAUAACAGCAACAUAUAAAGCAAAAAUAGCUGAAAAGGCAGCAGAUAAAGAUGCAAAGGACAAAGCAGCAGAGGCUGAAACAGCAAAAAAUGCAAUAGAAGGAAAAACUGGGGAAGAUAAAACANNNNNNNNNNAAACAGCAAAAAAUGCAAUAGAAGGAAAAACUGGGGAAGAUAAAACAACGGCAGAAUCAGAAGCGACACAAAAAAAAAAUGAAGCAGAUGAUGCAAAAACUAAAGCAGAACAAGCUAAAUUAAAAGCAGAUCAAGCAGUGGCUAAAAAAGAAGCGGCUAUAAAAGAAGCGAAAAUUAAAAUAGCAGCAGCUAAAGUAGCAAAAGCUAUGGUAAAAGUAGCUGAAGCAGAAGCAUCUCUAGCAAGAGCAGAAGUAAAUGCGGCAAAUCUAGCAGUAAAUGUUAUGGAAGAAGAAGAAAAGAAAAAAGAAGCAGAUCAAGAAAAGAUUGCUAAAGAAGCGGCAUAUAAACAAGCAACAGAAAAUGUAAAAGGAAAAGUAGGGCAAGAACUAACAGACGCAAAAACAGAAGAGACAACAAAAAAACAAGAAUUUGAUGAUGCAAAGAAUGAGGCUGAUAAAGCUAAAAAGACAUAUGAUACUAAAAAAAAAGCUAAACAGGCGGCAGAUGAUCAAGUGCAAAAGAAAAAAGAAGAACUUAAAGUAGCAGAAGCUGAAGCAGCAACAGCAGGAAAAGAAGAUGAUGACCAGGGCUUUAUUGCAAAAUAUAAAAAACCCUUGAUAGCAUGUGGUAUUUUAGGUACAAUGGGACUUAUCCUGUCUAGUGUUUUUUACUUAAUGUAAAAUUUGAAAAAGAGAAAAAAAAUAAUUAAUAAAAAGUAGGAAAAGGUUUAUUCCCA
ensembl:lncRNA